CAAAGUUAGAUGUGAAUUGUGUAUGUGUCCAAUUGGCUGUUGUGAAUGGAGGGGGAAGGGUGUUAAAAGCUGUUAGUUGCAGUGAUUUUUAUUGCACUGACUACAUGGUCUGUGGCUAGAACUGUAGGCUCUGGAGGAUAACCUCAUGUCACGUACUACAAGGGCGCUUCUGGGAGGAAGGAGCAAGUAUCUGCCAAAACACUCGCUCUUGAGCAGCAAGGUUACAUCUUUGUUUUGUCAUGUUACUGGAGAACCAGUGGUGUUUUUCCUUCAAGGCCUAAAGUUGUUUUAUUUAUGGUAGGUUAUUUUUUUGUUGUUGUUGUUUGUUUCAUUUUUAUAUAUCUAGAAUAGAAAAAAUAUGAGAACAAAAAUUUAUGAUGGUAUGGUACAGAGUAUUCAUGGGUUUAAUUCUGUUUCCUGUAUUCAAGGGAUUUCCUAGCAAGAAUAGAAACCUCUGCAAUAAAAAUUCCUAUUUAUGUUAAUCUUCUGCAAUCAGCGUGCAGUCUGAAAUAAUUACAAUGAAAACACCCUCUGCUCCAAACGCUCACAACUUGCAUUUAUUUUGGGCUUUUUUUGCCUCAGAAUUCUGAAAACAUAAUCCCUCAUUCUGCUCUGCUUCAUCUCCUUUGCCUGAAUUUAUCCAACAGAACCCUUUGUGAGCUUCAUUAACAAUGGUCAUGCCAUAAUAAAUUACAUAAUUUGGGAAGUUUUUAAUUAAAUAAGGUAAAAAAAAAAUCAAAGCAUAAUAAAUUAAAUUAGGUAACAUUUUACCAUAAUGAAUUUCCACAUGAGGUGUGUAAUGAAGUAGACCAAAGUAUAAUCUAUAAUCUGAAGCUUUUAGCUGUUACAGCUUUACUAGUCUAAGCUACAAAAUGUUUUUGUUUUUUUUUAAUAUUUUUUGAAAAAAAUUCAUAUGUCAAACAUAAUUUUCUCUUCAAUGGAUUAUGCAAAGGUAGCAGGAAAAUGUUAGCAAAGGCACAGUGAAGAGUCUGUUUGACUCUGUGAAGACACAUCUUCCAGCCUUUCCUGUUCCUUUCAGACCUGCUUGCCCAAGCAGCUGUCCUUCAUGUAUCCUUUCAACACUGGGCACAGUAAAGAGUAUUUUUGGUAGAACUGUUCAAUAUGUUUGGAAUGAAUCGUAGAAUCACCAGGGUUGGAAAAGAUUUCCAAGAUUAUCCAGUCCAGCUGUCCACCUACCACUAGUAUUUCCCCACUAAACCCUGUCCCUUAGUAGAGCAUCUAAGUGUUUCUUGGGCACCUCCAAGGAUGGCUCAGGGAAGAUGUAAUUGCAGCCUUUCAGUACUUGAGGAGAGCUUAUAAGCAGGAGGGGAACUGACUUUUUAUGCAGUCUGAUAGUGAUAGGACAAGGGGCAGUGGCUUUAAACUAGAAGAGGGGAAAUUUAGGCUACUUGUUAGGAAAAAGGUUUUUACUCAGAGAGUAGUGAGGCACUGGCACUGCUGCCCAGAGCUGUGGAUGCCUCAUCCCUGGAGAUGUUCACAGCCAGAUUGGAUGGGACCCUGGGCAGCAUGAUCUAAUGGGUCGCAGCCCUGCUCAAAGCAGGGGGCGUAGGAGCUCACUUUAAGAUCCCUUAAGGUCUUAAAGAUCCCUUCCAACCCAAGCCAUUCCGUGUUCCUAUGAUUUUCUUACAUGGCGCAACUAUGUAACUUUUACCAAGGGGAUGUUCUCCAUCAAAAGGAUUUGGUCCUGAAAGGCUUUCCUUUCCAUAUACAGUAUGCAGCUUUGUGACAGUGAAUGGUGCUUUGAUUUUCAGAUUGUGAUGGGAUUAAACAAAAACCAAUGGAAGAGGACGUGGAAAGAGAAUUUUUAAAAUCAUUAAUAUUGAUUUGUCUUUUUCCCAGUAUCUCCAAAUAAUUACAGGAAGCAGUGCAAAGGGAGUAGUCUUGGACAUUAUAUUCACUAUUUUGAUUUGAUGAUGCAUAGAGACAGAAUAAUGUUUUGUAUUCAUCUUUCACAAGGGCAAAUGGCUGUGUAGAAGGCUAUGAAAAACAGUGACUAUUAUUUGUAUCUCUGGGAAGCAUCCUUCCCUUCUGAUAUUUUAAUUUAGAGCUGGUUUAGAGAGGAAAGACUGAUGACAGCAACGUCAGGCUAUAUUUUGGGGUGAGUUUCUGUUUUUUGAGGAUCUUGCAUUAUUCCAUCAUGCUCUGAAACUGCGGAAUUUGACUUUUGAAUGUUCCAUUGAAGAAAAAAAAAAAAAGCAACAGGUUAUUUGAUUUGUGUAUGUACAUAUAAUUAGGGCAUGCAGAGUGAGUAAAAGAUGUGUGAUGAGAGAGAGAAGGCAAAGAUAGAGUGCCUGUCACAUUGUGACAAUGCUGCCUGUGGUACUGUUGAGAGUGCAGAGUCUGUCCCCUCCUACUCAGCUGUCACCUCAUCUUGGGUCACUGCAGGGGUAGCUGAGUGUCAUGGGAAGCAAAAAAAAAAAAAGUCUGUUGUAUUUUAAUGGUGCUUCUGGCAGUAAUUCUGCUUUCUGCUAUAUACAUGUAAUACUUAACCAAGUGAGGUCUGUUGUAAGGAUGGAACGGCAGCUUGUCUGGGAUAACUCAUGAACCUGUUAGCAGGUGGAUCUCUUACAGCUCACUGACUCACAGGCUAUAGUUCGUUUUCCCCCGAAAGACUUUAUACAGCAUUUCAGUAUAUCUAGAUAGCCCAUCUCCCUCUUUCCUUGUCUUUUCACGUCAACAGAGUAACUGUUGUAAAUUUAGAGAAGGUAUGAGGGCAUAAAGUUUAUGUAGCAGAAGAGCAUCUGUUUUACAGAAAGUACCCCAUUUAGGUUUUAAGCAUCCUGAGCCGUUGCCAGGCAGGACUCCUGGAUGAGAACAUUGCACAGAAUCACUGCUGUCAUCCUCUGUAACAUUUUAGGUAACUUGUUUGGCAGUCUGGUGGUAAAGAUGGACAGAGAUCCAGAAAGCACAACCAUAGUAAGAGAAGCUGAUACACAGCUGUAGGGGAAACAUCAAUGUACAGAAAAAGAGGUUAAAAUGCAAAGUUAGAAUAUGAAGUGUUGGCUCAAAAAGCAGCUCGCUAAUAGCGACUUGUUGGGUUGGGAACAUACUGCCUUCAGCAAGAGGCUCAGACCUUUCCCCUUUGGGUGGAAGACCUCACAAGUGAGGGACCUCGGGGCGAGAGGGAAGAAAUUCUUGCUCUGCAAGUGGUACAAAUUGGAUGGCUAAGGUACAGAAUUAUAUUAAUUGUAUCUGGAAAAGAAUAUAUUAGAAAUUAGUCUUGAUGACAGGAGUGUGUCAAAUUAAUAAAUUAUGUAUUUUUGGAAUUAUACAGCGUGUCGGAAGCCAAUUUUGUUCCAGGGGAAAUGUGAUAUCUUUUCCCAUUGUGUGUGAGUUUCCAAAAGGAUGAAAAGCAAGGAAAAUGUAAAGCUAAAAGAGAAGUUGUCAAAUGGAGGUGCAUGCAGAGAAGGGAAUUGACUGUGCCAUUUAAACUGUAUAAAUCAACAGCGAUGUGCCCUAUCUCUCAGACCCUUCCGGUAUCUCUGUGUGUUCAGACUGCUAGAUCUGUUUUCCAUUUUCGACAAUAGAUUUUACCUUGACCUGUGCAGACAGUCAUAUCCUUUUACAUAGCGGUGACUUCCCAGAGAACACAAGCAUAAAUCUGCUCUGUUGCCAUGAGGUACACACUGUGCCUCACAGCAGAUCUGUUUUUUAACUCACAAGAAUGUGUGCAAGGGGAUUUUGCUGUGCUGCGGAGAAUAUUUGAGCUGCAUUUUUACAUACCAACAUUUUAUUUCUUCUGCUUGCAGAAUCUGAAUAGUUUAGAAAGGAAACGUAGAGCUACCAUUGGCACUCCGAAAUGGUCUUGCUUUUCAGAAUGUCGUUUCUGUAAUCCUACUGGGGAGGAGGAGCUAUCUGUUCCAAGGCAGUCAGUAUAGUUAUGAAAAUGUUCAAAGAGUUGACAAUUAGGAAUAAUCAUUCACUGCUGCUGCUUUGUUUCUAGUGUAGUGAACAUAUUUUUUGGAGUGGAAUUAAAUCCAAGUCACUCCAGGGGCCAUUGGUAUUUUGCAAAUGCUAAAUUAAAGUGUGCCAUGUGCUGCGCACAAGGGGUGGUCAGUAGUGGCUUGACAGAAUUCAAUUGUGUGUGUGGCAGGGGUGCUCCGGCUCACUGCAUGUGGGUGUGAUGCAGCCGCAAUCUGGUGGGAAAACAACCUUUCACAGCCCCUUUUCUUUUUGUGAACAGGAGGGAGACGUUCCCCAGCUGUGUUCCAUCCUGCCCUCCGGUGAGGUGGUCCUGGAGAGCGGGCCUCCUGCACAGCCACUUUUUGUUCCUUCAAUUCAUCACCAUCCCUUUGGUUUUUUUUGUAUUUUUUUUAUUCCACUUCCAGGCUGCAAAUACAUGGAAUGAGGAACAAGUUAAUUAGAAGCCAUGAAACAGGGAUGGAAGCUGAGCUACCUUAACAAACAGUAGGUGAAGAAGCAGGUUCAGAUUGGAAAGAAAUAAUCUUUAUGUCCUUCAAAAUUAUCUUCCUAUUAAGUUACUGAAGUAUAGGUAUGGAGGAAUUGAUAUAGAAAUCACAGAAUUGUUUGAGUUGGAAGAGACUUUUAAAGGUCAACUAGUUCAGUGUAGUACCAUAUCCUUUUUGGGACCUGCUGCUGUAUGUUGGAAGUCCCUAAAUGGUGUAUUGUCCUCUGCAAUUGUCCUAGGAAAGGUCCUCACCUUUCACCUUUCUCAGCUGUGUGCUUUGAGCUUGUUCACCCUACUCAAGCUAGUGUAGGGAGUGCACAAUGUGUUGCAGCAUGUUUGGGCUCAAAGAAUGUUAGCGGGGAGAGAGCCACCAAAAUUAAACUUACCAAUCUUGUACCUGGGCCAGCGCUCACUGGAUGGGGAAGUUUCCCCCCCAAAAAAAGAGCUAAGGACCCUAUUCACAUGCUUUCCAUCUUCCCAUUCUCUUUCCAUGUGUCUCUGAAGGCUAAGCUAAUCAGGCAACCUUCUGCUGGCUACAAAUAGGGUUCACGGAGCGUGGUAAGCAUGGCCUAUGUAGCAUGCAGUAACUGAAGGGGUUAUUCAUGGGACGAUGCAGUGCUCAAAGCAGUACAAGUGAAGGUAGGGGCUUGGGGGAAAAUUACCCUGAUGUGUACUGUGCCCACAGGAUCCUCAGGGAGGAGCAUGCUGCCUUGGGGAAGGAGCAAGAGCUGUGGUUGCUGCUUGGUGCAGGUGCUGUGGCUGGUUCAGCGGCAGCAGGGCAGAGGAGUCGGAGGGAACAGUGAAGCAUCUGAAUAUACUUUUGGCUUGCAUGAUGUUUGGAAGUUAUUGUGUGGCAUGGCAGCAUUUUGUUAAUUUACUUAGUAAUUUGUGAUGGCAGUAGCUGAAUAUUGAACAGCUUAAAUCUAAACAACUGGCUUUCGUACUUUGGUGGAGAGUUGUUGAGUGAAACAACAGGGGUAAAUUGUGAAUAGAAGAGAAACCAUCAAGUGCAGCUUUCUGUGAACCUGCCCACCCUCUUCUUUGUGCGAUACUGAGCAGCUGGGGCUGUGUUAUCUCAACUUAUCAUUGGUAAUCAGAAUAUAGAUGUUUCUUGGGGGAUAUGUUUUGCUUUCAGUUGUUUUGGUGGAAAUCUACAGUUAUUAACUAAAUCAUUUGCAUGUAGACCAGCAAUACUGCAAAGAGAAUUUGAACAAUUUUAUCAGUGUGGUGAGAAGUACUUUCAUUUUGUGAGAGCCUGCUGUCUUUGUUUAAUCAAAGAAGAUACUACUUGAAUAUAAAAUGAGACAAUUUGCGCUGUUGUCUUUUUUUCUUCCAUGGGAAAAGAACUGAUGUACUAAUCCUUGUAGAAGCAAAACUAAUAGAGUUCUCUAUACAUUAAUUAAAAAUACUUCGUUUAUUAAAGAAUGCCAUUUUCCUAAUCUUUAAUAUUUAUGAAACCUGUAAAAACAUAGGACACAGUACUUUGCCAAGUUAGUUACAGAGGUGUAUAUUGCUGUAAUCAGAUUUCUUCAGCUGAUUUGAAUGUUUUGCAGGGAGAUGUUUUCUCCCUUGAAUGCCAUGGAGUUUUGCUCUCAGUGGUCCACUGGACUCCCUCUAUGUUUUUUAAUGCAAAGCCAGGUAGGUGUGUUUAUGAAUUGCUGUCCUAGACUGCUUUCUCCAGAGGUGUAAUUUAGAAGCUGGUGCUUCAUUCAUUAUUAUGCUUGCCUUGGUCUGAAUCUACAAUUUGGUCUGUUGCUCAAGUUGCAGAAUGAUGACUCAUUCCCUUCCUUCACUGGGUAGUUGCACUUGAUCUUAUUGAGAUAAGAUUCUUAGAUUAGUUUUUCUGCAAAGCUAGCAAGAAGUACUUACAGCAUUCAGGGUGGAUUGUAAUUCCACUGAUACAUAUAUAUAUGUAUAUAUAUUUACUGAAAAAAAACAAAAAGGGUGGUUGUGACUAAAAAGUUGUUUAUAGAUUAUUUAAUUAUGCCUCUUUUGGGCUCCAUACAGUGUAGGUAAGAAGAUGUUCUCCACUCAUUUCUAGUAUGCAUGAGAAAAGUCAGCUUGUAUGGAACAAAAGUGGUUAUAUUCAAGAGCAGGUUGUAGUGAAACGACAGGAGACAUCCAUCUCAUAGUCUAUGGAAAUCUAAGUAAAGAAAGUAAUCCUAGUGGAAUGUCUGCUGUAUUUGCAGUUUCUUGUAGAAGAGCAGUUUUCUGCAUGGAAUGUCCCCAAGUGACAGAAGAAUCCUGCUGGUGUGAAUACAUGUCUCCAAAGAGUAGGAUAAAGAGAAGUGAGAGAUGAAUAAAUAGAUAGGUGGUAGAGGGAGACACGGUAACCAAAUCUUUGUUCCUGGAAUCGCACCUUCAGUGUGGACGACAGCAUUAAGUAUGUCCCAGCUAGACUCCUCUCACUCUAUCUUUACUGGGAAUUAAGAUAUUCUCUCCAUGAAUCCUGUAAGAGAGAACUCUACAGUAAGGAAUAUUGUGCCUCCAGAAUUAGACAUAAAUCAUCACUUGUGUAAUGGACUAUUUCUUUAUUAUCCAGCAGUUUUUUCUGUUCUUUGGUUUUCAGAGACCGCACAUGUUGAUUUUCUUCACUUGCCAUGUGGUCCUAACACAUGGUGGAGGAAGGACAUUCAGACCUGAAUUAUUUUAUCUCCUAGAAUCUGUCAGUUUUCUAAUGUCACUUUUUUCUUCUUGGUAUUGCUUCUAGUAUUUUUAUUUAAUUUUUAAAAACAGCAUUUAGGGUUCAGAUUGUUGCCUUAAAACUGACUGUUACUGUUCACUAUUAAAAAUAUCAUAGUGGACUACAGCUCAAAGAACUGUUAGGAUAUAGUUUUGCCUUUAUGUAGGUUGUUUUUUUUUUAAUGAGAUUAUUUGCCUAUAUUAAUGUUCUUUACUUUGCUAGGUCUGUGUAGACCACAAGCUUUAAUUUAUUUAAGUGAUCCUAGCUUGUUCAUUUUCCAGAUAUUUAUCUAUUAGCUUUUAAUGGUAAGGAGAAAUUUGCAGAUAGGAGCUAUCAUGGAAUUUUGAAGAGUGCCUUUAUGCUCAGGGUAAAUAAGGAAUCUUUCUUUGUAUUUAUGUAAAGGUCUCAGCCAGUGAUCUAGGUGAAAGGGUCAUUUUAAGCUGACCUGGAUCAUUGUAUUGUGCAGACUGCAAGCAAGCUAUACGAGGCAAUAUUUUUGUUCUUAUCUGCUUAUAAGUGGUGCCUUUAUGGUGCCUUUAAAAGUAAUGUAGAGUUAACACUGAGGGCUCUCAACCUGUUUUCCAAAUGGUGCGUUCAUACCACUUCUCUGAUAACCACAUGCAAUCAGUCUUCACCUCAUAAACACUUCUGGUGGCCAUUUGGAGGGCGUGCAUCACCACGGUUUGCAAAAUCUUUCUUCAUCCUGGCUGCCGAGUUGAGUGACAAGAUUCAGAGAUGGAGUUUCUCUAUAUAGUAUAGUUACUAGUUUCCUUCAGGGCACAGGAAAGACAGCCUUCCCUCCAACUGUCUGCUGGAGUACCACUUAAAAUCACUUUCCUUCUCCAUUGUAUUUAAUAGUCUGACUGACAUUGAGUUUUUCCAGCAAUGAAGUCAAUUGGGUGAUAUUCUGCUGAGAAAUUUUUGGCCAAUGGAGACUGGUGUGAAAGAAGAGCAUGGACUAAUUCUGUUUAACAGCUUGUGCAAAAUGUAUGUAGGAGUGUAAGGAAGAAACUGUCACUACUGAAUUGCAGAAGAAAUCACUGUAGGAAAAGUGUUUAGAACUUAGGAAAAAUGAGAGAAAAUGGUGUGCAUGGAUUGAAUGUGAAGUAUCAAGUUCAGUAAGAGAAGCCAUCCAUGUGCUUCUUAGGAAAUCAGUAGUUUUCAGGGAGCAAAUUCUGUUGUAUCUUACUACUGACUGUAAGAUCACUGGAAGAAGUCUGUAAGGUUUUUGUGCGCAUCAUGACUUUACCGCGUGGCAUUACAGCUUGCUUACUACAGUUAGUGAAAUUUGUUUCUCCCAGGAACGAGUAUCCUAACAGGGCAUGGACAAAGACUUUGGCUGAUCGUAUUUUUUCACCUUUUUGAGAGAGAAAAAAUGUCAGUUACAAACAACCCAUAAAAAGCAAACAACAUUUCACUGGUAGUGUUCCAUGAACACAAACUUUUUGUGUAAUUUUUUAUAAAGACUAAAAAAUAAUUAAAAAAGCAGGGUAGCUUGCAAGCAAAACCUAAAGCAUGCCUUUGAAAAAGUGUGAAUUGUACUUCUUUGAAGACAGCAAAAUAUUUGCUUAAAUGAAUGUGACCCAUUUGAUGCUGAAAGGGAAAAUAUUUUUACACUUCAUUUUCUCUCUUCCAUAGUAUUGAAUCUUGCUUACUUUUUGUAGUCAUGCAUGAAUAUGCUAUAUUAAGUAGUAUUUUUUCUGAGUUAUCUGAAUUUCUUAUGAACUGACCUAUGAAUUAAAGAAGACUGCUUGAAAAAAUAAUUUCAGAGGAAAUUAAAUUAAAAGAUCAGAACAACUCAUUAUUUCCUUCUUCUCAUACAGCAAUUGUAUUUUUUCCUUUACAUAAAUGCAUAUGUUCCCUCUGCUUUCUGUACCUUUCUAGAAUUAUUUCCUACGGGGUUAUUUUCUACAUUAUUUUUUUCCAAGUGCAAUUUUUUUUUUUUAUCUAUCAAAUGAAAUGAAGAUACUAUAAAGUGAAAUAAAUAGAGGGGCAGGUUAGCAUACAGAAACAUAGAACAUUUGUCCAGAAAAUAGGGCUUAAUCCAGUUGGUCAAAGUAAUGAGGCUAAACAGAAGAGAAUGAGCAUUUUUGUGGUGAAAGUAAUGUUAAGAAAAAAAUAUGAAGCCCUAGGGGAAAAUUUACAAAUAACCACUUUUAAACACUCUAUCCUUAUGAUUAGAAAGAACUGUCUCAAAUAAAACAGAUGUAAAAACUCACUGGUGCUCCUGUUCCAAUCUGUAUCAGCUCUGUUGAACUGCUUUCAAACCACUGUGUGAUAGGUAAGGGGCAGGGUCAUCUUGCCACAUGAUGAUUGCCUGGAAUUGUGUAUUUAAUUGCUUCUUUGCCAUCGCCCCUUUCCUACCAUGAGCAGCAGCAGGCAGUGGCUGCUAGCAUUCUGAGGUAAUGACUGUGGGCAAAAAUGCCUUUUUUAGGCUUUGUGCCUAAGGGAACUCCUACUCAGCAUCCACAAAAAGUAGAAAUUAAACCUGUUGCCUUGGAACGUAAACCAAAAUUGUUUGAAGUAUUUAAAAGGAAUUUCUCUGCUGUCAGUCUUUGGUUAAUUUUAAACAUAUUUUUGUUACUGCAAACUUGAAAAUUAAGAUUAUGCUUUUUUUCCAAGACAUUAACUACAUGGUACCAUCAUGUAGCUCUUUUGCCUUCAUGCAGAUGUUAUCCUCUUGCAUGAGUCCCUCCCUGGUUUGGUCAGCAGUGGCACUACCCUCCUCAACUGCAGAUCAUCUGGACCUGCAGAAGUAUGGAGCAGAGGCAAUAACUCUUGCUUCUCUGGUGGCUUGGAUUACCCGAACGCCUUCAGAGUCUGGUGUUCUGGGAGUCACUGGGAUUGCUACUUUAAGCAAAUGUCCUGAUAGAAAAUGUAGCUGAUACCAGGAGAUGAGAUCAGUUAUAUUGGCUUCACUGGAAGAUAGCAAGAGAAAACCAUGGAGAAUCCUUCAGUGAACACAGUCACAAGAUAACAAGUCAGACCCAAUGAUUUUCAGUUUGGCAAGCUGGAGACCAGCAGGAUAAAAAGCUUUUUUUCCUUUUAAGGCUACAAAACCCACCAGGAGACUUCAGGGAAAACCUCGAUGGCUUGUUCCUGUGGAGUUCUUUUUUUCCCUUGACAAAUAUUGCAUCUAUUUCUGUAGAAGGACACGAGUUGGCCUUAAAUUUUCCAAGACAGGAUUAUAAAUGAGGGAUGGAAAAAUGUACUUCCUGUUACAAUCCAUUUGGCUGACUUUUUAAAACUAAUAACAAUUAAUUAAACUAGAUGGGAUUUUGUUCUGUAAUUUGGGUGCAGAAAAUGGAAUUAAAAUCUCUGCUUGUUUUCUGGUUAAGUGUCAUCUUAUUGCCAAAAAGCUUUGUGAAAAAGGCUUAUACUUUCUUUUCCAUUCCUUUCAUUCCUUCCUACUCUCUCUCUCUUUCUCUCUCUCUCUUUUCCUUUCUCUCUUUCUCCUCUCUUCUUUCUCUCUUCUUUCUUUCUUCUUUCUCUCUCCUUCUCUUUCCCUUCCUUUGGCAACAUUCUCCAAACAGAUUGUAUGAAAGUAGGCACUCAAAUUAGUGUUUUUAAUGCAUGGAAGUCAGUUAACUGCUUCAUUAGGUUCUUAAGAAUUUGUUUACCAAAAGUUUGGCCAUGUGUGACUUAAUGUCAUUUCUAAAAUCUCCUCUCAAGAAUAUCCUGAUCAGUUUUUUCUUUUUUUGUGUGUGUAUUCUCACUUAUUAGGGGCUAUUAACAUAUUGUCAACUCAUUAACUUUUACUCAAUGUGUUGAUUGCAAUUUUUGUGACAUAAAUGAAUAAAUAUUUACAGAUUUGGUCCUUAGCUUUUAGAUGUUGGUGUAAGCUAAAAAGAGGACCACUAAUUUGCUCUACAGUUUAAUGUCACCAAGUAGUAAUUCUGUACCUUCAACAUUUGUUCAGUAAUAUAUCCAUUUCUCAAGGAGCACUGUUGUGGAAACGAGCACAGUUUUAAUUAAUGUUUUCCACCAUGUGCCUUACAAUUAAUAUUUUAAACACAGAACAGCUUUAAUUGGUCUUUUUUACCCACACAAUUCAUGGUGAAAACUGUGCUCAAUGGUUAGAUAUUUUGUAAACCCAGCUAAGUAAUAUAAAACAUAUACAUCCAAUUUCUGCUUUUACAGUAUUCACUUAUAAUUCCCUGUUUCAAGCAAAGGCACCCUGUGAAGUGCAUCUCUUCUGUAAAGACAACACAGACUGUACAACUGUGUAUAACAUAAACAGGAAAUAAAAACAUUUCGUUGGGAUUUAAAUGUUGUGCUGCAUAACCUAGAAUUAUCUCUGUGUUAACUUAUACUGUUUUCAGAUAUUUUUCCUUGAAUUUUCGUUCUUACAGAUGUAAGGGAAAGUAAUCUCAAAUUGUGUCUCAAAUUGGAAGGCACCUCUGGUUAUUGCUCUGUUUAACCUACCUGCUCAAAGAAGGGUCAUCUGCUGCAAGUUGCCCAGGACAAGCAGGAUAAGUCAAGAGACAGAAAUUCUGCAUCAUCUCUGUAAAACCUGUUCCAGGUUUAAUCAUUCACAGUAAAAGAAAAAGAUUAUUUUCUUAUAUUCAAGUAGUAUUCCCUGUAUUUCAGUUUGUACUUGUUGCCUUUUAGCAGCAGCACAUCCACCUGGUCUAUCAACUGCUUCUUCCAGUUCUGUAUUACCAGCAAACUUGCAGAGAACUCUGUCCUGUUGUCUAGAUCAUUCACAAAAACACUAAAUGAUGCUAUCCCUAUUGCUGACCUCUGGGGUACUCCACUUGUGUCUGGACUCCAGCUGGACUUUGUGCUGCUGGCUGCAGUCUUUGCAAGUCCUCAGUUCCAUGAAAUCAAGAUAAAUAAUAUUCACUUCUCUCUUGACUCCAUGAGAUGGGCCAGGCAUCCCAUCAGGGCCCAUGGGUUUGUGCAUGUCCAGUUUGAUUAAAUACUCCUGAGCUUUAUCCUCCUCUAUGACAGGGAGUCUUCAUUGCAUGAAUUUUUUGUGGGUACUUCUCCCCUCUCCUGUGCUUGGCCUGGCUGUGUGCAAGCUAGGCUGCAUAUAAGCAGGUAACAGAGCAAGUACAGGCAGUGCAGGGAUUUCAGAGCUAGUUUGAAUGUGUCAGAACAGCGAGGUGGAUUAGUCUGUAGUCAUGUUCCUGUUGCAGUCGAGAGCUGUCAUCUGUACCUGAGCAGGGUUAUUUAAGCUAGCAUGGCUAUAAGAGUCGCAGUCUACACAUAUUUCUCCAUCAAGCAGGGGAAAAAAAAAAAAAAAAAAAAAAAAAAACACCCAGAAAAAAAAAUAUGAAGAUGCUGUUUCCAGCUCAGUAGGACCCUGACAGCUCCUGAGCUCAGCAGGACCCUGAGCUGUUGCCUCGCAGGGUACAGAUGCAGAUUUUGGGCUCCCCACUUCUGACAAGCUCCAGGCCCAGCAGCAACUUGGCAAUCCUGCUGCUUACGGGGGCGGAUGGCGUGGAUCAUCCCUCUCCUGCUGAGUGUGUCCUGCCAGUGGGAAGCACAGGUUAGUCAGCCCUGUCCUCCAGGAGGAACUGAACACCCCCACCGAGUGGAGUCAGAGCUGAGAAGCUGCCCAUCUUUGGCAAAUUUCCUCUACUCUUCCAGCAUGGCUUCAUCAGCUUUAGAUUAAUAAUAACUUUUAAAAUCCCUUCAGUUUCUCAGGGUUGCUUAAAAAGCUGGCAGCUCUCAGUGGGUUGAACAACAAUGAGAAUUUAGCCUGGCGUGGCCUACCAGAUUUGCUCCUCUUCUUGCAUGUGGAGGGAUGGCUCUGAGUGGGAACCAUGGCACUGCCUCAAAACUAGCGGAAGAUCAUGGGUGUUGUGGUAAUCAGACCCAAGAGAAGCUGUGCUAUCUUCUGGGCUGCUUUCUGCUGGCAGUGUUAUGUAGAGAAGUUCAUUUACUUUCCUCAGCAUAUCUUCUGUUGUUAAGGUGACUUGUUGAGUCCAGGUUGCAAUGUGUGUUUGUUUCAUGUUAGGACAUUCACGAUAUAACCUGUAUUGAGCAUCUCAUCUUACAGACAUAUCCUGUCCCCUCCUCACCACAUCCAUCCGAAGUUCAGCUUCUGAUCACGACUAAGAUCCUGAGCCCAAGUCCAGACAAGCAGCAGUCAACAGGGCCACUUUGUUCCCCUCUGACAUGAGGGGUUUGUGACCUCCAGUGCAGUGAAGAAGCAAUUUCCUUUUGUUUUGAAGAGGGCUGACUGAAAGCUACAGAUGGAAGGACUUUUGAAAAAGAAGUAGCCUUUUUAGUGAGAGAGGAAAAUAUAGAUGAGGUGGAAAGUUUGCAUUCUGGUUGAAAUUUUGCAUUCUAUGGCAUUUUAGAGAAAUUGGUUUCUCUCUCAGACGUUCUAAACUUUUAAAGUUCUUUUUUUUUAAGUUGUGUCAAUAAGAAUGUGACUUACAUAUAAUUGGGUUCUAUGAGAAAACAUGUAUUCCAAUAACACUGAAAAAUCCAUUGCAAUAUCAGUAGCACCUCUGAUACAAACAUCAUGAAACAUGAAGCAGAACUAAGAAAUGACUUAAGUGAAAAUGUGUCACUGUAAAAGGAAGGCUGUGAAUUUCUUUUUUUCUCUUCAUCCAGCUUAAAUGUUGAGCCAGUUGCACAUGUUAAUGAGUAAAUGUGGAAUGUAUAAUUUUGCCUGGGGAGUAUUUUACUAACCUUAAAUAAAAUAAUUACCAGCAUAUUUUAAAUAGAACAUUUUUUUUCUCUCAUCCUACUACUAACGUUGAUUCUAAGAGAAGGCUAAUUCUUUUUUAUAUGAAUAAAUGAUUGUGCUAUUAAGGCAGCUGUUAUAAUAAUUGGUGGAGAACUAAUCACUCAUUAAGUUGUUUGUGCUACCAUAACAGUAACUCAGUAGUAUGAAGUAAUGGUCUUGUGGGUUAAUGUUGUAGUUGAAGUUGCAGAACACCUUUGGGGCUGAUAGUUGACUUGCCUACUUUUCCCAGUUUCAUGUGAGGUGUUUACAUCUGCAAAAGACCAUUUCAGUGUUGCAACUUUGAAGAAUUUUAGAAGGGUUGCUUGCAUGAGGACAUUUUUUGGUUGAGAGGGAAUUUGUGAGUCUCAGUGAGAAGGGAAGCAGAUGAAGUAAGCCCAUAUAAUUGCUUGUAGGACUUGUCAAGGCUCAUGCCCUAAGGAGCCACUUGCUUGCCAGCAUGCUGUUUCCUGACUUGCCAUAGUACAGUCAUGCCCUGGCUGCUAGCAUGGCCUCUUCAUUCUUCUCCUCCUGAUGGCUGUGAACAUCAGGAAACCACCUCGAUUUGUUUCUUCCUAUUCAGUGUAGCGCGAGUCACUCACCCUGACUUUCUUUUUUUCAGGUGCUCUCUCGGUUGAUCAUGAGGAUAAGUUGUUUUAACUCCAGAGAUUUCUUUACUGAAAUAGAGCAGGGGUCUCUAGCUCCACUAGAGCUGGGUCUGUGCAGCUUUCAUGCUGAAGAGACAUAGCCUUGUGCUUGUUCUUUUCCAGAAUAACAACUGCUGUUUUAUUUUUCACAAAGGUAGUUUAUUUUUCCUUUAUCUAGAGACAAUACAUUUGGGAGAGGGUGUUUGACUGUUUUGGAGGGGGCAGGGCAGCUGAUACCAAGAAGCCAAGGAUUGAAGAGUACAGCACAGGAAUGCGCUGAGGUCUGAAGGAGUGCUGUUGAUGAGGGUGUGCAUCCGAACAUUUAAAAUACGCAGUGACUUACUUGCACUGUGGCUACAAGUGUCUCCCUUCUGUGCUCCAGGAAGGUACUUUGGAGUGCAGAGUGCCAUGAGAGCCCCAGGGGUGCUGUAACAUAGCUGCUGUCUGCUAGGCACUGGCUGCCUUCAAAUUCAGCUCAUCUAUCAUGAAUCAGCUUGAAAAUUGGUUGUCAACGCUAUGUUAGCUGAGGCUUAAUAGUGGACUGUUCCUCAGGCUAGCAAAGGUUGCAAGGUUUGAAAUUACGGUUUGCAAGGACAGACUUCUCUGUGCAACUGUGAGAGACGUAAAAUCUAACAUUUUCUGUAAGCAUUCUUGUGGAACACAGACAAACUCUUCCUGAACCACAUCCUGACCAGUACUGAAAGUGUGCGUGGCACCACUGUAUUGUGAAAUCAUUUUAUUGUGUAUGAACUGGUCCAUUAUCCUCACCAUCAGUUAGGAGGGGCAGGGUGAAACUGGAAGGUGCCUUUGGCUGACUGAAAGCAAGAGGGGAAGGAGUCAGAAGUGCAGGAGGUGUUCAGAUAGGAACCAGACUCUGGAGAAAGGACCAGCAUUGGUAGAACACUGUGGUACUACAUCUAUGACAUCUCAGAGGUAGGGGAAUGAGCAGUGUAGUGCUUCCUGUGAUGGAAAGCAUAAAGAAAAAUAGAUUUAGAUGUGCCAUUCUUCAGUUUGCUUUACCAUUCUUCAUAGUACGUAGAUGUGGAUUUAAUAACGUGGUUGCAUAGCCAAUUUGGAGUUGUUUGAGGGUCCUGAGAUGUUGACUUGUGUUCAGAUGUCUGGUUGAAUAUGUAAGAGAAGUAAAGUAAAUUUUAAAUUAGGCUAUACAGAUCUCCUUGACCAUAUCAGACCAUCUCUGCCAAAUCAGUCAAUGGGAAGAUGAUGCUGCUAAUGGUAAUUUGAUUCACGUCUUGUUUUGGCAGCCCCCAGAAAAUUGGUGUCUUUUGUAGUACACAUUAGUGGUUGUAAAUUUCCCUGGACUUCAGGUUGUAAGAGGGUCUCCUGCAGUCUCAUGAGCUGUGGUGGCCUCUUGGACAGUGCCUGCGAAGUGUGGGAUUUCCUCACUCCACAGUGUGAGCACGGGUAUGACAGCAGUUUCUUCCUUUUUUUGCUAUUCCUGCAAUUGCACAGGUGUUUCUGUCAGCCUUGAACAUUCCUCUGCAUAUCACUGCUUUUCUGUCCCCCAUCUUUUUGUCCUUAUAGUCCUAUCAGCAAAACAGAGUCUUUCUUUGUUGCUUAGUCGUGUCUAUAAAGAGCCCCUAAGACCUGAUACGUCUUUCUGGCAGAAAAGCUGGAGCGUGGCUUUGAAUUUGUAUUAUUUCACCUGGGGAAAAAAAUGGUAAAAAUAAUUCUUAAUUUCAAAAGAAUGCCCAUUAUUUAUCUGCUCUGCCAUUACAUUUCAUUGUUUCUCCAUAUUUCUUUUUAGAAGUUGUUCUGGGUGAGGAACUAGUGAUGUUGUUUUACUUAUCACCAGCCAGAAUGUUUUGAGGGAGUGUGUGGAUGCAUGGGACGUGUACUGGCAGAGAAAGCUGCUCUUGUAAUUAUGCUAAACACACCUCACCAAGAGUUGCUGCUGUUUCAGGAACGAGAGAAGAAUGGAAUACAUGUGCCAAGCGCUGGGGACAGAUUCAUUUCAUCCAACGUGAUUUUUAUACGUCUUGUUAGAAAUGAAUGGAUUAGCAACCGGGCAGGGAUUGCAGGUGACACGGCAAGACUUGGCAUAGCAAAGAAAACCCGGGGCCACCUGGACUCUUGUAGUGAGUGAAAAAAUGCAGUUUUAUGACUCUCCUGGAAUCAGACUGAAAUGAGAAUGGUAAUAAACAACUUCUGUGCUAAUAGCAGGGUGCCUUACCGUGCAGGUGGUCUGGAACAGAAGUGAGUGCCUUUAAGCAUUGUUUUAUGGUGUUACACAUUUCAGGCUGAAAAAUGGCCAUAAGCUUUAUUACUUUAAUAUUAACGCUUUUUCAUUACUCUCUCUUUCUCCCUCCUGGAAACUGCUGCAUUCAUCCAUUAUAAAGUGGCUAGCACUUUUCUCUCCUCUCCUGCCAUUUCUCACAGCGUGAGGAGGGAAAGGCAGGUGGGUGGCAGGAGGUACAGUCGAAGACGUAACAGCACUGCAGCCCUUCCCACCUGGAGCCAAGCCCAUGCUGCUGCCAGUUAUCACCUGCUGGGGAGCCAUGCAAAGCCCUCAGGGAUGGGGCACCGAGCCACUCCAUGGCCAAUGCUUUCUGGUGACCUGUGAGAGGACUGCUGCUGUUACAUGGGCUUCUCCCAUUUAGGUUUUCCAUCCUGGGUCUGUGCUGGUGGGCAAGGGCUUGGCAGUGCAGAUAUUGAUGUCCAUUGCCCGUGCUGAGGUAGUUCCUCCUCAUUUCUGCUAUGGCAGGGCUUUGAGCUUGCUGGAGAGGGGCCAUGUUUGUUUGUUUUUAAGACACCCAAUUCCUGAAUUCUUUUUCCUACUCUAAAUAUGUCAAGUUAAGUUUAUCUCAGUGCCAGUACCAACUGUAACUAGAGUUAAAUUUUCCCUACCAUUGCCUCUGCUUGAUUCUCACUUUUUAAAAAGCCUUAGUAAAAUAAAUCGUGCCCUGCAUGCCUUUAAAUUUCAUUAUCACGACCUAACUUAAUUUACUAUAAAUUAUUUUUCCCUGAGUUUCUUCACCUGUGAACUUGCAGCCCCCAGUGUCUUGCUCAUUGGAUCACUGCCCAGCUAAUCAAGAUUUUUUUUCUUCACAAUCCUUGCUUUUUGUAUCAGCUAGCUUUGCCAAAGUCAACUUGGCUGUAUAAACUCUGUGGGGACACACAGAAAGCUGAUAUAUUCUUGUCUUUAAAAUAAGAGUUUUAUUGAACCAAGUUUGACUCUCUUCCUGUCGUGCUCUAGUAAUUGCUAAUAAAGACCUCUCCUCCCUUAGAAAAUAAGUGACUUCUGUGCUUUGUUCUCAUUUUGGAGGCAGCCAUUGCAGUGCUUUCUUCUGACUCUUCCUUUCUUUUCUUUUUUCCUUGGGAAGAAUGACUGACUGAGUGGAAAAUCUCUGCGCACUCAGUAUUGAGCAGCUGUGUCUUGGUUUUGUUUUUUAGCACAGUUAGAUUUCAAGUCUGAUAAAGGCUGGUGUUUAUUUCCACUGAGAAAUGCCAAUCCAUUUUCUCUUUAGAGCUGUUCCUAUUAUUUAGCAAUUGUUGAUAAACAACUUUUAUUUCAGCCCCCUGAACACUGAAGGCUCGCCUCUCACCAAGCUGCUGGGUUGCAGCCAGGCUCAAUACUUUGCUGAGUAAGGGUCAGAGAACCUUUAGAGAAUUUCAGCCUCCCGUGUCAAGCUGUAGUAUCAACUUCCUAUGAUCAAACAUCCUCAGAAGAGAAACGUAAACUGCAAGUUUUUUAUGACUUUAAAAAGAAACUACGUGGUUUUAAAAAAUAAAAGAAUUCUACCUGACUUCCUGGAACGCCUUGGGGCAGUCAUUUUGGAUGGAAAACGUCCUGAUUGUCGCUUGGGUGGAACACAUGUAAUCUGCAGAGUCCUUUAAUCCUAAGGUAACUCACCAGCACAUUACAAAAAUGACCAGUGUUCUAGUUCUCGUCUGGAGACAAGUGGUAGCAAUCAAAUGUUUCUGAUGAGCAGCAUAACAGAACCUUUCAAUAUGGCUUUUUUUGUUGGCUUUUUUUUUUUAAUCUUUGUUAUUCUGGCUUACUGCCUAGGUCUUAGUAGAGCAGACAUAUCAGCUAGAUGAAUUUCCUGAUGGAAAAGUGUGUUUAGCUAUUACGGUGGACGUUGAUGGAAGUGAGUUUUCUGGGUGGUCUCUAUUGAAGGCAUCCUGUUACCACCUGAUGUGGGAUGGUACAGGUGCACCUGGUACAAGAGGUACUGCCUUGUGCACAUGGCAGUCUCCUCAGUUCAGCCAUGCUUUAGUCUGACCUAAAUUACUGGGCUCAAUAUGGAGUCUACUGGUAAAACAGCACGUCAUAGGAUAGGCAGGGGGUCAGAUUAGAUGAUCUAAUGGCUCCAUCUGGCCUUAAACUCUUAAUUAGGGAAAUGCUGCCAGCAAAAAUGGCAUUGAAGCUUUCCACUGCUAGAUUUCACUUGCCUGGGAGAUCCUCAGCUGAAAUGCAGCUGUGGAGGUUGUGCGUGAGUUGGCUUUUCCUUGGGCUCUAAUGCUGACAGCAGCCAGCAGACCUAAAAGCUCUGGGUCCUGAUUAGAAGCUGCUAGCCUUGCUUUCACAGAAAUGCAAAAUCUCCAUUUCUAACUCUUCCAGACUGUUGCAUGUUCAUCUUGUACAGCUGUAAUGAUAGCUAAAUAUAGGAAUCUAUUAUUAGCCUGGUACUAUUGCAUACGUUGAAAGAAAAUAGAUAUGCUUCUCUGGCAAGCUGAUGAAAAAGAAAUGAUAGUUAUUUGAAGCUGUUCAUGGAUUAAACUAUUAAAAGUGAGGAUGUGGUUUUGGUGGUGGGUGGUUUGAUAUGGCAGGGGUUUAUGAUUCUUUGCUUGACAUCUUUAGUGCAGAAACAUGAAGUAUAUAUUUGUGCAUUGCUGCAGAUGUGCUCUUUGCUCUCUCAGCUUUGCAAGUCAGUAGUGUGCCAGCUGAAUAACCACUGACCCAGCAAAACCAGCAUCACUGAUCAACUGUUUCUUCAGCAAGCCCAAAUGGCUUGUAGUUAACUCAGUAUGUCACUUGAUUCCAGAAGGUCAUUUCAAUGCCAUCUCACAGCUGCCUAAUUGUUUAUUGAUAAUAAUUAUUCCAUGCUUACACUCUCCUUCACAAUUUUAUGAAAUUCAUUGAACUUAACUACUUUACUUUUAGUGAUAAAAUACUGUGGUAUUGCAGUAUUUAACCUUCACUUGAAGAAUUUGUAAUUGGAAAUUUCAAACACUAUAGGAUUUCUCUAUAUAAAAAUGCUACACUUUUAUUUUUUUAAUGAGAUUAUCUACUUUUGAAUGCCUCAUAGAGGUCCUGUUAUUAUACACCCCACAUAUUUCAAAGCUCAAGGAGCUGAAUAAAUAGCUGCUGAGGUGCUCUUCUAAAGCACUGUCCCCUACAGCUAAUUUAGCUUGUGGUUUCUUACUCCUGCUUCCAGAUUAUUUUUGUUCAGAAUAAUUGCUCUGGAAGUGUGUUUCUUUUAUUUGUAGUCUCAUCUUGGGGAUGUUAAUCAUAUUGUUUCAUUUUAGUAGUAGCUUCUACUGUCCUGGCUUCUUUCCUUGCAAACUCCUAGUGCCAUAGACUAUUGCUCUGUAUUUUUGACACAGGGCAGUUGUGCAUGGAAAGAAGCAGCCUUGGUUUCCUGUGGUUUAACACAUUAAGGUAACCCAGAUCUCAGCAACAAAAAUAUGUGGAAAUGGAUGCUAAACUAUCUCUGUGGCACUGUCUCUGCUCGCAUCUCUAUUUCUUUUUGAGGUGCCUUACCCAAGAUGUGGUUUCAUCUGCAGUGACCCGUAGCAGUUCCUGGGGACCUGUUCUAUAGCAAAGAGAAGCAACUUUUAGCCAUGCUCCGCUUCAUUCUCCUCCUCCCUUCACUGUCUUAUUUUGAAGUCUGUAACACAUCUUAUUUCUUCUAGGGCUCCCCAGUGCUUGGGUAUCAGCAGCCAGCAGCUGUCUUGCUGGCUGCUUCGUGCAACCGUUGUCAACUUUACAGAGCUGCUAGCGCGUUCCUUGCUGAAUGGUCCCUUCAGGUUUGCAGGCUUAUUUCUGCCUUGCUGACUUUAUUAUCAGCCCAGUUUCCCCAGCCUAAUUACAGCUUCUCUCUUCCCACUGUCUGGUAAGCUGCAGGAAUGUUUGGAUGAACCUCUAAAUGAGCCUGAAGAUAACAGUUUACAGAAAACAAAUAAGUACCCUUGAAAGUAGAAGAAGAGUCUCCAGACAGUCUGAAUCUUGCUUAUCUUUGCAAGAUGGUACCUUGAAGGCCUGUAAGUUUCUGAUAACACUUCUUUGUUAUGCAGUGCAAAAUAAGAAUGCGAUUUUCAUUUGGACACGGACACCAUCUGCAGUCACCAGAUGCAGUUAUCAAGAUUAAAUUGCAAGACUUGUCACUGAUUAUGCUGGUAAUCAUUGAGGUGAUCAGUGUAAUUAUCAUGAGAUCGAGACAUUUUCUCUGAUAUGGUACUGUGGAAUUGAGUUGCAGGAGCAUCCAUCAUGAGCUACUGGGUAGAGUCAGAACAUGGCACUUUUCCUCUUGGAUCAUGUUUUUUUCUAAGAUAGAAUAAAAUAGAUAAGCAAAUACUGUGAAACUGACUGUCUGUUUUGAAAACACUUUCCAUUGGAUUCUGUCAGUUUUGUUGAAAGCCUGCUUCAUUGCCUGUCCAUGAAAAGCACCUGUCCAUUCACUUCAUACCCACGCUUUAGAAUAGUCUUUAUUCUGAGUCUUCUUACCCGAAGAAGAUGCAAUAUUUAUAUUUCAUGUUAUUUUAACCCUUCCAAAUAUUUUUUCCUAGUUUAAAUCAUCUGGAGUUUUGGCCUAGCUACUUCUGGAACAAGUUUUCUUGCUAGAACAAAAUUGUUUUAAUGAUGUCACAGAAAAUGUGACUAAGAGUGGAUAGAAUAUGAUCUUAAAUGCUAAACAAUCAUUUCAAGUCUAAUGCACAAGAAUAAUUAACCAAGAAACAAAUUAUAUGGCUUUGAAGAACACAUCAGAUCAUCAUUUGUCUGUGCUGGAGCAUUUCCGUUAAUCAUCUGUAAUAUGGUUCUUCAUGUAUUGAUGUAGUGGUAAAACAAAUCCAUUCUGCAGAAGUGUUUGCUGAAGAGUGAGCCUUUGUUCAUUCUCUUGUAGAUUAUCAAGCUGACUUCUUGCAAAUACAAAGAUGAAUUAUGUUCAACAAUUGAUGAUAUUAAGCCUAUAUCUAAUACUUUUCAUUUUUCACUCACUUCAUGUUGCCACUCACACACACUAGAAGCGUAUGUAAUGUUUUGGGUCCUUUUUCAAACGGCAUAGAUAUGCAGUCAGAAUAUGGUUUAUACUUCCCAGCAGUGUAUUGCUCAGGGAAAGGAUGAGAGUUUUUGUAGUCUAAAUCAUCUGAAGACGAUGCAGGUGAAGACUGAGAAAAGUGGGCAGCAUUAAGCGUUAAAGCAAGGAAUGGUGACAGUGAAAGAGUAAAACUGCAUUCAGUCUUUGUCAGGGCUAAGAGCAUCCCUGACAGCUGUUCCUUUAAUUUCCAUCAAGCACAUCGAAUUUGAUUCCAAGGAAUAUGUUGCCACAGAAAACUUCCAGAAGAAAAUCAUCACAGGGAAGAUAGGAGAUAAUUGCUAAUAUUUUUAUUCUGUCACUGAUCUGUUCUUAUAUCUGCUAAGCUUCACAUAAUUAUUUAUCGUUAGAGGCUUAUAAAAUAAUUUUUGACUUGAGAUGAAAAGGGAGAAAAGUCAAAUACAUUUUUACCAUGAACACAACCCAUCAAUCUUAAAGUGCUGAUUCAUUUGCCCACACAGUAUAAUUAAGUAAGCUGUUAAUCUAUAAUAAAGAGGAAUACAUUUGGUGAUCUCACAAUCAGAAAGUAAUUAUAGCUUAAAAUGUUCCUUUGGCUUUCCUUAACCAUUUUAUCACUCUGUAAUUGUUUAGAGAGAGUAUUCAGAGCUGUAAGAUCUAUAAACUUGCACCUAUGUUAUUUGCUCCUGCCACUAUAAACAUCUUGCCAUGAGCAGCUGUUAGAAAGAUGUCUGUACUGGAAGAUUUUGGGGAAAAAAUAUUGAUGUGCAUUCCAAGCGCUGUCUUGAGGGAGAAUAUUAUAGUUUGAGUACGUUUGGUGUUUCAUUAGAUAAUGAAUCCAUUAUGUAAUUGAAGUUCAGGCUCGCACUGAUUAAUCAUGACAUUUCAAUUAUUCACUGAAUCGGUGAUCUUUUGCACCUCCUUUCCCCACCUCAUUUGCUGUUGGCUUCUAUUCAUUUUUCUGUUACUGCUUUAGGAUUUCACUGUGGCAUGCUCUGAGAUCCUGAAAGUCUUCCCCUGCCAGAGACAUUCUUUGGGGAAUUCAGAUCACCUGGCACCUUGCAGGCAGUUCUUGGCAUCUCUCUGGUUUGUUGCUGUCCUGUGGCUCCUGCUCAACUCCAGCUCACAGUUAUCCUCGCUUUCCAGCUCCGUACUUAGAGUAGCCAGGCAGGAUGUCCCUCAGUGUACACAGACCCUGGUGGCAAAUAUAUUUGGUUUCAGUAAAAUUGGGUAAAAUGGUUCAGUCCUCAGUUCUUCAGCAAACUGGACUGCUUGGAUUGGGGAAUUACCUCUGAAUCUUAACCUGUAGCCUCCAGCUUAUGACUGUCUUGUUAAUACUAAUUGCAAGCUAAUAUUUUUACAUCUAGGCUAGUGUAUGUCUAUAUUAAUUGGCAAAGAGAAAAAAGGAAUAAAAAGACAUAAAAUACAGCUGUCUUUAGGUGUAGACAGUAAGGCUGGUUUGUGCAUAUGCUGUAACAAACACACUGGUGUUACAGGAAGAUGAGUUGAAGGAAAACAAUUCAUUAAAAACAGUAUUUUUUUUGUCAGAGGGUAGUUUGAUAAACCCGAUUUAAAGCAAAGGUAUUCGAUAGGCAAAGUUAAGGCCCAUUGUAAUAGAGUAGUAAGAGACUAGAUUUAUCAACGAAUGUGUCUUUUCUGAAUAGCAGGACAGUCAGUGUCUUCAAGAAAAUCGUAAUAAUAGUGUCAGAUAUUUUGAACCUAUAAAAUAUCUCAGUAAUGGACUGGAAGUCAGAUAAAACAGUGAUCUUGUUACAGUGUUCCCUUUUAAUGGAUUUCUAGUUGUAAAAUUUUAAUAUUUAUUCAAAAUUCUAGUUUACUUUAACGGAUAACUAAGAAAAGAGGUCUGUAGAAAAAGCUUGUCUAGUCUGUAAUUCUCCACACUGUUCUUUCUGAAGCUCAGAAGUGACAGAUCAAACAGAUUGAGUGCAAUCACUGCACAGCCGAUGGGCCACCCCCUGGGGUUGGUCGGCUGGCUUCUGUCGUUUUCCUCUUCCCAUUCCUACUUGCUGGUUUAAGCAUAUAAACUCCAGCAACAAGAAAUUCCUCUCUAAUCUUGGCACCUUCAGUAGUAACAACUACAAGCUAGCCCCGGAUGCUGAGCGUUUCUUGUUAGUACUGACCUGAGUGACAUUGCUGAGAUGAGAGAUGCAAUAUUUUUCAUCAGGAAAUCCAGUUUUGAAGACAAGAGGAGAGAUUAGUCUAGCACAUUACUGAUAACGAAAAUGCUUUCACUGAAUUUCCUUCACAGUCAGACGUGUGUGCCAUUUAACCUUCUUGGCACACAACUAAGAUGGUGCAGUUGCUCAAAUGCAAAGAAGACAUAAUUUAGCUUACGGAAUCCACACAGAUAAUCAUGCCUGAGAUGGAGCUUUCUCUUGGCGUAAGUGAUCAGCAGUGAAAACCCUUUGUAGCCAGAUUUUUCUGACCCUAGAAGCCACAUAAAAAUCUGCGAGUGGCUGACUACUCUGCUCUAUCUUUCGUACUGUGCUCCCAGAGCUGACUCUACAAGCUUGCCUUGCUCCUUUGCCCUCCCCAUCUUCCCACAGAACCCAGUACUGUGGUAGCUGAACCCUAGCAUCAAUCAUAUUUUUGGGACAGCACUACAGUCCCUUUUCUCACACGAGGCACUUUGUAUGCUUCUGCAUUCUGUUUUUCUUUUGUAACUCAUUUUGUGUUGUACCCUUGUCCUGUCAUACCUUUGUAGUCAUGUGUAAUAUCUGGAGAGAUUGCACCCAAAGGAUAAAAACUUUGUAUAACUGGGAUGGUAUUUGCCCAUUGGCAGGGCUGCACUCUCUUGUUCUUGGGUUAUGACCCCAAGGGGCAGGUGCAGCUAACUGUUCCAAUCAGUUAUCAGUCAAGUAGAUGUGAUGAGCCAUCUUUAGCAAUAUAUAUGAUGUCUUAUUGUACCUUUUGCUGUCUUAGUACUGUCAUAAACAAAAACUCUCAGUCUGUUUCAGUGUCACUUUUAUGCUGUUCUCUGUGAUGUUUAUAAGAUUUCCUAUAUGUUGCUCUGAAGACACAGUGGCAUAAAUUAUUUUUAAAGUAAUCUUGUCACGGUCUUUCUGUAUGACUUGGCUAAGUUUUCAGGCCCUUAUUUCCAGAUGGAUAGCCAGCAGCACUAAUGCUUCUUUACCUCGCUGAAUUUUAUGUGGGGAGGAGUUAUUAAUUGAAUACUUGAAUUAGUAAUAUCAUAGAUGCUAAGCACUCAGAUGCCCAGAUAGGUUUAUACACUUUGCUUGUCUGAAAGGCAGACAUCUGCAAGAACCUGACACCUGGAGCUUUGGUUAAACAGUCACUGUGUAUUAGAAUCAAACGUAAACAUCUUGAAAUCCACAAGGAAAGCACAUUUUCCCACAUUGCUGGAUGUUUGUACAGAAUGGCCAUGGGGGGCACAAAAAAAAAAUAGUUAAAAUGGUAAGGCUGUAAAAAGUUCUUUUGUGUCAUCUGCACUCUGAAGUUUUAUUGCCCUGCAGUAUUUUACUUAUACACUAGGUUUUCUAUGUGUCUACUUGUAUUUUAGAAAUGUACACAAAAUAUCUUUCUAUGUCAUGCCGUUAUCUGUCCUUGAACAUUGCUGUCAUUUUUCCUGUGCCUUUAUUUACUUGAUCAUUUAUUUUUCAGUGUUUUUUUCUUUAUUUACAGAUUUCCAACUAACUCAUAUGUUUGUUGCAAUUCUAUGUCUUCCGUCUCUUUUUCUGUAGUCUUUAAUUUUCCUGUCUGCUGUGUGUCACCUGUCUUUAUUCCAAUCUCCAUUACCUUCUUCUUUAUUUAAUGCAUUCCAGGCUGAGAAAAUCUAAUAGAUGCUCCAGAAGUAAAAAAUCUUCCUUUUGGCAUUGCUAAAGGUCAGAUCCUAGUUCUCUUUUCUCUUGUAGUUGAUAGGAUGCCUGACAGUAAAGGAUGUGUUCAGUAUGGAUUUGUUAGUGGAUCUCAAACCACAGAUAUGGGAUAAGAUGUUCUGAUUAUGGAAGUUUUAAAAGCUCUGUUUUCCUUGAGUGAUGCUCAGUCUCAUUGGAUUGUUUCCAGUUAAUUUACUGAGAAUUUGCUGAGCUUUAUUCUUGCUCAGCAAAGUUUUUGUUGACUGGAUUGUUAAUUACGGGUUUAAACUUGUAUUUGCUCUUUGUAACAACUUAAAACAGUGGGAGUUUUUCUCCCUCUUUACCCAUUUAGUCAGUAUUCUCUUAUGAAGAGGCAUUGCUUCAUUAAACAUCUUCCUGCUCAGUCUGUAAUGAUCCUACUCCUUCCACUCUAAACACAUUAAUACAUUAAAGAAAAAGAGCUUCACUUGUCUUCAUCGGGCUGAAGACAUCCCACAUUUUCUUUGGUGUAUAAGGCAUCUUUGACACAUUACAUUUGCUGUGGAGGUCUCAGCAGGAUCUGUGGCGUAAUUUAUGUUGGUGCAUGAAUGUUUUCCCACACUUGUAUAAUAUUAAUGAAUACUGUUAUGCAGAAAAACUGAAGUCUGGUAGCAUUAGCAGAGAUGUUAGUGUCACAUUUCCCAUGUUGGGCUAUCCAGGGGCUAAUAGUGAUCAAAGUCUUAAAAGUUCAUAAAGCUAAUUCUGAUACAUUUAUAACUGUGUCACUGAUACUAUCUUAUGCUAACAAAGGUGCUGGUAUAGAUGUAGAGAGAUGUAGAGUGUUAAAACACUAUCUCCUGGGUGAUUUUUUUUUUUCAUCAGGGUUCUUGUAGUCUUUAUUUUUAGCCUGUAAGAAAGCAAAUAUGAUGCACAGUCCUCACAGUCUGGUGAAAACAGCAGGAUUUUUAUGCCUCUGCAGAAUUAAACAUCUAAGAUAACUGCAUCUCUUUGCUCUUUUACCUCGUUCUAUGAUGGCAGUAGGACUCCAGUAUCACUGGUGGAAAGCUACUGUGUACAAGUAUUAGUGAUGAGGUGAUGCCUACUGCUUCUGUGAUGGUGAGUUGAACCACUCUUCUGCUCUCUUGGUGCAGCACGGUAGUGAGACCCGUA
rnacentral:lncRNA from 1 species